rnacentral:tRNA from 1 species
CAAGUUGAGUUUAUUUAUUAAUUUAUUUUUUACACAAAUAAGGAGCUAGACAAUUAAUCUAGUCAAUUUGA